GUCCACGCCCUAAACGAUGAAUACUCGCUGUUAGCGAUAUACAGUUAGCGGCUAAGCGAAAGCGUUAAGUAUUCCACCUGGGGAGUACGCCCGCAAGGGUGAAACUCAAAGGAAUUGACGGGGGCCCGCACAAGCGGAGGAGCAUGUGGUUUAAUUCGAUGAUACGCGAGGAACCUUACCCGGGCUUGAAAGUUAGUGAAGUUUCCAGAGAUGGGAGCGUCCGCAAGGACACGAAACUAGGUGCUGCAUGGCUGUAGU
rnacentral:rRNA from 1 species